CCUACGGGUGGCAGCAGUGAGGAAUAUUGGUCAAUGGGCGAGAGCCUGAACCAGCCAAGUCGCGUGAGGGAGUACUGCCCUAUGGGUUGUAAACCUCUUUUGUCGGGGAGCAAAAUCCGGCCGUUUCCCGCUGUUAUAGUACCCUUAUAAAUAGCAUCGGCAAACCCCGUUCCAGGUGCCGGGGUAAUACGGGGGAUUCGAGCGGUAUCCGGAUUUAGUGGGUUUAAAGGGGGCGAAGGCGGAUUUUUAAGUAUGCGGGAAAAUCGCGGGGGUCAACCCCCGACAGCCGUUGAAACUGGGGAUCUAGAGAGUACGAGCGGUAGGCGGAAUGCGUGGUGUAGCGGUGAAAUGCAUAGAGAUCACGCAGAACACCGAUUGCGAAGGCAGCAUACCAGAGCACAACUGACGCUCAGGCACGAAAGCGUGGGUAUCGAACAGGAUUAGAGACCCGUGUAGUC
rnacentral:rRNA from 1 species